GAUGAACGCUGGCGGCGUGCCUAAUACAUGCAAGUCGAGCGAACAGACGAGGAGCUUGCUCCUCUGACGUUAGCGGCGGACGGGUGAGUAACACGUGGAUAACCUACCUAUAAGACUGGGAUAACUUCGGGAAACCGGAGCUAAUACCGGAUAAUAUAUUGAACCGCAUGGUUCAAUAGUGAAAGACGGUUUUGCUGUCACUUAUAGAUGGAUCCGCGCCGCAUUAGCUAGUUGGUAAGGUAACGGCUUACCAAGGCAACGAUGCGUAGCCGACCUGAUAGGGUGAUCGGCCACACUGGAACUGAGCCACGGUCCAGACUCCUACGGGAGGCAGCAGUAGGGAAUCUUCCGCAAUGGGCGAAAGCCUGACGGAGCAACGCCGCGUGAGUGAUGAAGGUCUUCGGAUCGUAAAACUCUGUUAUUAGGGAAGAACAAAUGUGUAAGUAACUAUGCACGUCUUGACGGUACCUAAUCAGAAAGCCACGGCUAACUACGUG
rnacentral:rRNA from 1 species